rnacentral:pre_miRNA from 1 species
CAUGCACCAGUGGGGUCCCUCUGCCUGGCCUGCGGGAUCAGGCCGAAACCAGCUCUCUGACAUCCCCUGAGGGGUUUCAGCUUUCAAGAGGGCGCAGGCCAGGCUGAGGGACCCCACUGGUGCACA